rnacentral:rRNA from 1 species
GAUGAACGCUGGCGGCGUGCCUAAUACAUGCAAGUCGAGCGAACAGACGAGAAGCUUGCUCCUCUGACGUUAGCGGCGGACGGGUGAGUAACACGUGGAUAACCUACCUAUAAGACUGGGAUAACUUCGGGAAACCGGAGCUAAUACCGGAUAAUAUAUUGAACCGCAUGGUUCAAUAGUGAAAGACGGUUUUGCUGUCACUUAUAGAUGGAUCCGCGCUGCAUUAGCUAGUUGGUAAGGUAACGGCUUACCAAGGCAACGAUGCAUAGCCGACCUGAGAGGGUGAUCGGCCACACUGGAACUGAGACACGGUCCAGACUCCUACGGGAGGCAGCAGUAGGGAAUCUUCCGAAAUGGGCGGAAGCCUGACGGAGCAACGCCGCGUGAGUGAUGAAGGUCUUAGGAUCGUAAAACUCUGUUAUUAGGGAAGAACAAAUGUGUAAGUAACUAUGCACGUCUUGACGGUACCUAAUCAGAAAGCCACGGCUAACUACGUG